UCGACGAUGAUGCCCAGCUUGCUGGGUGGAUUAGUGGCGAACGGGUGAGUAACACGUGAGUAACCUGCCCCUGACUCUGGGAUAAGCGUUGGAAACGACGUCUAAUACUGGAUAUGAUCACUGGCCGCAUGGUCUGGUGGUGGAAAGAUUUUUUGGUUGGGGAUGGACUCGCGGCCUAUCAGCUUGUUGGUGAGGUAAUGGCUCACCAAGGCGACGACGGGUAGCCGGCCUGAGAGGGUGACCGGCCACACUGGGACUGAGACACGGCCCAGACUCCUACGGGAGGCAGCAGUGGGGAAUAUUGCACAAUGGGCGAAAGCCUGAUGCAGCAACGCCGCGUGAGGGAUGACGGCCUUCGGGUUGUAAACCUCUUUUAGUAGGGAAGAAGCGAAAGUGACGGUACCUGCAGAAAAAGCACCGGCUAACUACGUGCCAGCAGCCGCGGUAAUACGUAGGGUGCAAGCGUUGUCCGGAAUUAUUGGGCGUAAAGAGCUCGUAGGCGGUUUGUCGCGUCUGCUGUGAAAUCCCGAGGCUCAACCUCGGGCUUGCAGUGGGUACGGGCAGACUAGAGUGCGGUAGGGGAGAUUGGAAUUCCUGGUGUAGCGGUGGAAUGCGCAGAUAUCAGGAGGAACACCGAUGGCGAAGGCAGAUCUCUGGGCCGUAACUGACGCUGAGGAGCGAAAGCAUGGGGAGCGAACA
rnacentral:rRNA from 1 species